GAAAGAAAGAACAAGUAAUUCUCCAGGACUUCAGUUAUGCCAUAACUGAAGUUUGAUAUUUUGGGAUCUGUAUCUAAGUACCCUGUUAGAGCACCAAAGAGUGAAACCAAAGGGCAGAAGGAACACCUCAAAUGCAUCUUCUGGUGUGUCAACACACGUGCACACUUCUUCCUUUCUUUAGGGCAGUGGUGAGAAGUCAUAGUUAUCAAAUGCUGGCUGUCACCUAA
rnacentral:lncRNA from 1 species